AUUGAACGCUGGCGGCAUGCCUUACACAUGCAAGUCGAACGGCAGCACGGGAGCAAUCCUGGUGGCGAGUGGCGAACGGGUGAGUAAUAUAUCGGAACGUGCCCGGUCGUGGGGGAUAACGUAGCGAAAGCUACGCUAACACCGCAUACGAUCUACGGAUGAAAGCGGGGGAUCGCAAGACCUCGCGCGAUUGGAGCGGCCGAUAUCAGAUUAGGUAGUUGGUGAGGUAAAGGCUCACCAAGCCGACGANCUGUAGCUGGUCUGAGAGGACGACCAG
rnacentral:rRNA from 1 species